rnacentral:rRNA from 1 species
GUGGCUUCCGGAGCUAACGCGUUAAGUCGACCGCCUGGGGAGUACGGCCGCAAGGUUAAAACUCAAAUGAAUUGACGGGGGCCCGCACAAGCGGUGGAGCAUGUGGUUUAAUUCGAUGCAACGCGAAGAACCUUACCUGGUCUUGACAUCCACGGAAGUUUUCAGAGAUGAGAAUGUGCCUUCGGGAACCGUGAGACAGGUGCUGCAUGGCUGUCGUCAGCUCGUGUUGUGAAAUGUUGGGUUAAGUCCCGCAACGAGCGCAACCCUUAUCCUUUGUUGCCAGCGGUCCGGCCGGGAACUCAAAGGAGACUGCCAGUGAUAAACUGGAGGAAGGUGGGGAUGACGUCAAGUCAUCAUGGCCCUUACGACCAGGGCUACACACGUGCUACAAUGGCGCAUACAAAGAGAAGCGACCUCGCGAGAGCAAGCGGACCUCAUAAAGUGCGUCGUAGUCCGGAUUGGAGUCUGCAACUCGACUCCAUGAAGUCGGAAUCGCUAGUAAUCGUGGAUCAGAAUGCCACGG